rnacentral:rRNA from 1 species
GACGAACGCUGGCGGCGUGCUUAACACAUGCAAGUCGAACGGAAAGGCCUGCUUUCCCUUGUGGAUUGCGGGUACUCGCGUGGCGAACGGGUGAGUAACACGUGAGUGAUCUGCCCCCAACUUGGGUAUAAGCCUGGGAAACUGGGUCUAAUUCCCGAUCGGCCUGCAGGGUGGUGCCUGUGGUGGAACACGAUUUUCUAGUGGUUGGGGAUGAGCGCGCGGCGUAUCAGCUUGUGGGUGGGGUAAUGGCCUACCAAGGCGGCGACGGGUAGCCGGCCUGGGAUGGUGGACGGGAGAAUUGGGACUGCGACACGGCGCAGACGACAAGGGGCAGCAGCCGAGGGGAGUAUGGGGCGGUGAGCGGAAUCCAGAUGCAGCGAGGCUGAGGGGGGGAUGACGGGCUUGGGGUGGUAGACUCCUGGCGACCGAGAGGAAGCCGCCUGGUCGGAGGGGUGGUGACGGUACCGGUAGAAGAAGCACCGGCUAACUACGUG